rnacentral:lncRNA from 1 species
AUCACCUUUGUCAUCAUCUAUCGGUUAGAAGCAAGUCACAGGUCUUGCCCACACUCAGUGAGAGGGAUUACAUGAAUGUGUGACCACCAGGAGAUGGUAACAAUUGGGGUCAUGAGGGGAUAUGACUGCUACAAUCUCCCAUCAUCAAAAACAAAAACAGGAAUCUGGCUGCUCCUCCUUGCUGUCUUUUGCUCAUGAAGCUGCCUAAAGGGUGACUCAGCACUAUGCAACUUCCAGGUACCAACUAUGAGAUGCCAAAGUCCAUCCAAAGGAUGGACCCAAGGCUACUGGAUCUUAAGGUUUCAGACAAGUGUGUGAGACUUUGUACAUGAAGUUGGAGAAUGCCUCACUCUCUACCCUGUACAGGGUUGUGAUCCAGAGCUGGAUUUCAGACCCCUGUUUCUACAGGAACUCUAAACAAGCCCAGACACUCGGCUGGGAAGUGAGAGACUCAAAACAACGUGAGAAGUAGAAAGCGGGCAAGUUUGUUGGGGCCAUAUGUAACUUCAUGAAUAUCACUGUUUCAAGGACUAAGUUAUAAGUUUUACCCUUUUCAGAUAAGGAAAACAGAGUGUGAGUGGGGUUAGAAAGAGGAAAAACAGCAAGCCAAGUUGAAUCACUCAUCCUGAGAGGCAUUCAAAUACAGAGUUAUGGAGAAAGCGACUUUCCUCCACAAGGGUAAACCCCUCAACAGCAGCUGGUAAACCUCAGUCCACAGCGCAGAGUGUGAGAAAGGGAAGAUUUCAAACAACUUAAAUACAAAGAAAACACUUUUUUAAAACAUUAGUGAUUCUUUUCCACAUUUCCCUUUAGGCUCUAUUCAUACGGAAAAUAUUCCGCUACACCUCACAGCAAUAUAUCUUAUUUUUUUUAAUAUGCAGCAACCGUCAGCCAACUCAUAGCUGAAGCAGGGACACUGUGCAGCUCUUGGAGCUUGUUCUUAGUAUGUGUUCAGAGGGCUAAUACUCUGUCAAGCAGGGCGGAUGAUAGCCAGAGCAAACAGCCACGGUCCCCACGGUGGAAAAUAACGU